rfam:Aspergillus bombycis strain NRRL26010 contig00196, whole genome shotgun sequence.
GGCACUUUGGCGGAGUGGCCUAACGCGGUGCCCUGCUAUACCCACUACGUGGAUUAGCUAGUCCAGGCAUUUCCUUCGGGAGCGUGAGUUCGAAUCUCACAGGUGUCG